rnacentral:rRNA from 1 species
UCUGCAACUCGACUACAUGAAGCUGGAAUCGCUAGUAAUCGCGGAUCAGAAUGCCGCGGUGAAUACGUUCCCGGGUCUUGUACACACCGCCCGUCACACCAUGGGAGUCAGUAACGCCCGAAGCCGGUGACCCAACCUAAACAGGAGGGAGCCGUCGAAGGCGGGACGGAUGACUGGGGUGAAGUCGUAACAAGGUAAC